UUUUGUUACAAAGUGGCAAAGAACUUAGCUGAAUUGUGCCCUGGUGCUUUGUAGAUGGUAGAACCUGCAAGUGAACAACUGGAUAUUUACCUGAGGAGACAGCUAAGCAAAGUGUUGAAGAAGUGGUUUGGUUCCUUCUUACUGCAUAACAGAAAAAAAUGCAAGGGGGAGAGUUAAAUGGAAGGAAUUGUUAACAACAACAAUAAAAAAGGAAUCAGAACUUGAAGAUCUAGAAAAUUCUAAGCCUACUCACAUUGCAAAACUUGAGGAAGCAUAUUCUGAAAACACUAAGGAUAUGGCUGAACAACCAUCUCAAGAAGCUCUUAGGAUGGGUAUGAUCUGCACAUUUACUCAGCCAUCUCAGAAGAAGCCAGGAUUACAGCGGCAGAAACACUGCUGGCUGGGACAAAAAGAAACAGAAAAGAAAGGAACUGAAGGCAGACAGCAAAUAUGCAUUAUCAUUCAGGAAAAAGGAAAAACAACCCCAGAGGUGAUUCAGAGAUACUCGGGCUGCUAUUCUCAUCACUGCCCCAGAAGGAAAUAGAGAAAUGCACUAUUUUGUGAAAAUCUUUGCAGAUGGAAACUUGUACGGAAGUGGAAUUCGAGAACCAGCAUGCUGACAUGUGAGUGACAUUCAAGAACCACUCAGUGGCCGACACUGUUCAUGACAUCAGGCCACUGGGACAAGAUGGUAAAAGUGACGAUUGUACUCCCCACACAUUAUAAUCCCUAUAACUUCUCUAUUCUCUCUCCACCCCCACCCCUGGAGCAAAACAGCUCCCAAGAUAAAUUGCUAGUCACAAUUUACAAUCAGAACACUAGUUAGCAUAAGCAGGCAGUCAUGUUUGUUCCUAAUGUAUUCUAGGCACUUGAUAUGCCGAGAGCACAAGACAAUUUUUUCACACGAUUGAACUCCUUAGGGUCUGUCUUCUAGAUCAUUUUGUUGGUUUAAAAUACACCAUUGCUCAAGCAUUGUGAAGUCUGCCCAUGUGCCUGGUGGGCAAAAGAAGAGCAAUUCGGUUCACUGUGCUGAGAUUUUUCUUUUAUGUAAAUUGCUUAAGUUUCAAGCUACAUCUUUGAUUUCUUUCAACAACAUCAAGUGUUAGCAUGCCACUUGCCUCUCUGUUUCUAGGAAUGGAGACUAGAAAUCUCAAUACAAAACAUUAACUCAGUGGGCUGGUCCGGCAGAGUAAUAGAUCUUCAAAACUACAGUGGCAAAACCCUACCUGGGCUUCCUCAAGGGGCGAUAAAGCACGGUAGUUUUUUCGUCAAACCAAGGGCAUUUAAGUCACAAAUCUACCUAUGCAGAAAGCAAUUGUGGCAGCUCCUCAAAUAGAUGACAGAAGGAACUAUUCAGAACCAGUGCUGAUGGGCCCUUGUGCUAACGGUGAAAAUAGGUUAGAUUAGAAAGAACUGCAGAGACCCCAAGCAAAUCAAUGACACCCUCAGAAUUGCUUAUUUGAGCUGGGAUCGCUCUUAUUUCACAUGCAAAGCACGUUACAUUAGCAACCAGAUGGUAUCUUCCUUUUCCUGGUGGGCCUUCU
rnacentral:lncRNA from 1 species